AUGCGGCGAUCCCAGAUGUGCUUUGACAUUGUGAUUUGUAGUUGUCAAGGACAUCAUUACCCAGUCCGUUCCUAUCCUUUGUCACUCACAAACAAUAAGCUUCAGCAUACAAGGCAUCAUUCAAUGCUAUUGGACUCAGGUGUUGGUAUACAAUUUCUUGUACAUUUUACUUCAGCUUACAAGGCAGAGUUCAAUGCUACUAAGUCUGUUCUUAGUGUAUUGACAAAGCCAAUUAUGGGGCCACUGUUGGAGGUUCUUGAAUGUACCCUGCCACUAUGGAACGUGUGUGCAGAAACAGUUGAAUAUCUCAGUUCAGCUGCAAUGGUAGCGAUGGAGACAUCAUGCAGUGUGGUUAUCAUUUGGCCAUUUUGA
rnacentral:rRNA from 1 species